ACUAACUCUACCAAGCACCAAGCCUCAUUUGCAAUAUGAAGGAGAGUUAAUUCAAAUCAUGGCGAUGGUUCUGGCAUGGACUUUUCCCUUCCCCAUCCCGACCACCCUCCUGUGAACACGGAGGUCUACUCUGCGUCAAAGGAAUAGUCCUCAAGGAGUAGUAGUCUAAAAUCCGAGGCAGAACGCUCACCACACAACACCGAGGUUUACAAGAGUUUUGCUGGUAAGUCAAGGCUGGUAUCAAUUUUUGCCAAUGCAAAAGGUUGAUGCUGCAUUUCUACAGUUCCCAGUUGGACUGGGCUACCAAAGAAAGCUAUCUCGUGUUUUGUUGGUUAUAACCGCCCCACCGGUGAACCCCUUACAAACUUUUUUUCUCAUAAAUAUAAAGAAAAACAGAAACUGAUAACAAAUAAAAAUCAAACUAGAAUUCACUAAAGAAACAUAUAAAUUGAUAAUAUAUUAUAGGUACAGAGAUAGAUAUAUAUUUUUUAUCUCACAGCUUUUUCAAUUAAAUCGUAUUUCUUUUUAAUUUUCUUUUGUCUUGCAUAUAAGUUUUUAGUUAUUGACUCAUAUUUUUAACUUGACUAAUUUGGGAAAUUGUCCAUUAUGGAGAAAAGCCCAAUAAAUUAUUUCAUAAAAGGUAUAAAAAACCGUUGCAGGUCACGGAUACAUACGGUUAAAUGGCAUUUACUAUCAGUUUAACGCGUUAUUAAAGUCUUAAUUUCCCGCUUCACUUUCUUUUACUGAGUUCUCACAAAAGAUAUCCAACAAGGUUUUAUGUUAAUGGAUGUGCAGCUCCUUACGCAUUGAUGAAUUAAUUUAAAUAAAUAAUAAAUAAAAAUUAAGUAUCUGUUUGCAAUAUUAAAUUAUUUUAGUUAAUGGAUGGAUGGAUACAUUGCCCAUAUAAAUUUUUUUUUACAAUUUGUUUUCUCUUUGUUUGUUACCGUUAUCUCUGAUUUUUCUAGACUGCUAUACAAGAGACUUGAUUCGUAGAUAGCUGACGUAAUAAAGAGUAACUUAUCUUUUA